AAUAUUUUUCCUUAUAAAUAUUUUAUAAAUAUUUUGUGCUAUCUGAAUUAAUAUCGUUAAGAGUUACAGAAUAGGUCUACUGGCACUGGCGCCGACUUAGGGGGGCAGAGCACUUUUGGCUCCGCUCCCUCCAAUAAUUUUUAUCUUUUUGAAAGUUUUUUUUUUAAGAAACCGCGCGCACAGCUUAAGCUCGUAUCAGACUACCAACUAAAAAUAAGGAAAAUAAGCUUUCUUUCUCGAAUAUUUGAAAUAAACUUUCUCAAUUUUGUGCAAUGUAAAUAAAAAUCUAUGUAAGUGUAUAAGAUAUUAAAGCUCGCAUACUUAUAUAUGAAGCAUACUUAUAUUUGAAGCUAUUUUAGAACCUGCGGCAUCAUUCGUGUGGGCUGUUUGUAAAAUGCUAGGGAACUUUCCAAUUUUUGAUAAGAAAUGAUAUAAUGUAAUAUGUGAAAGUGUUUUUAACUUUUAUCUUUCUAGCCUAAAAAAAAGGUCGUUAGAAAUUUUCCUCUUGCCCCCCCUAAAAAGUUUUCCAAGUCGGCGCCACUGUCUACUGGUAUCUGGCAUCGGGUACGUUCCGUUUCACGCAUGAUACGCAUGAUGCAUCGUUCAUCCUUGUUGUUUGUCGUUAAACAAGGAUGAACAAUGCAUUAUGCACAUCAUGGCAUUGAAACGGAACGCAGCCCUACUACUAUGUGUCACGCUUGCGCAAAACGACGCAGGUACACUAUUUUCGCUACGUCUAUCUUUAAUUUCAUCCACUUCUUCUAUGAAAUAAGCCCGACGCUAGCAAUAUAUGAGUAUUAUAAUAUAUAUGAGGAGAUCGCAUUUGGUUUAGAGAGGGUGACGGAUGUUCUAUAUAAAGUAGAUUCUCAAGAUGGCCGUUCACGCUCAUGCAAGUAUCAUAUACACGCGUACACACAUGAAAGCAAUACACUAUAGAAAAUAUGCUGAUGCGCAUGUCACAAAAGUCGAUUGUUAAGAUGUCUGCUCAAUUAUUAUGUAUCACAUCCGUCCCCGUAAAUUGUAUCCCCACUACCAAUACGUUUCCUCCUAUGAUUCUUUAUUCAAUAUGUGAGGCCAGAAUUUAUAGUCGUCAGUACUUGGCUUUGGCACUUGGCACAGUCGCCUUACGGAACGUGAAUGGACGAAAAGCAACAAGAUGGCGGCGACUGAGUGCCAAGUGCUAAGAUUGACGAGUAUAAAUUCGGCCUGAAGCGUGUGUGAACAACAGAGACGGUUUUCAACCAUUCUCAAUCGCCCUGGCAUGCGGGGAUCUAAGUUACAUAGAUAAAGUUGCGUAGAUAAAUUGCGUAGAUAAGCGAGUUUAAUAAAAGGAUCCAGUCGAUCACAUCGGAAUUUCUCUCAUUGACAACUUCCUAACUUCAAGAAGGAUUUGGAUGGUCUAUACCGUGCGAUGCUGUUUGAUUAAGAACUUUGAGCACGCGUGUCACGUAAUGGCGGAUGCCUUCGCGAAAGUAUCAAAGUAAUGGAAUGUGCGCGAAUCGUGAGCCCAUAACACAGAAUCCCAAUAACCAUUUCUGAAGAGGCAAAUGUUAGCAACAAAUUCUGUUUACUGAAAUGCAACAGAUGUGAAACAAACUUUGAUAUUAAAAAUACUGCGCGUAUAAUUCUAGCAAAAACUCACCAGAUUAUUUAACAAAAUGAUAGCGAACAGCAAGCAGAUUUGUCAAGAGCAUUGGCGAAAGAUUGAUGACAAAUACCAAGGUGGCUUUGUUUAGUGCAAAUUGUCAUCAAACUGUCAGCAUAAAUGCAACAGUAUAGAAGUGCUUAUUAAACACAUCAGAUUGGCGGUUAAUAACAUGCAGGCAUGUCGAACACGUUGACGACAGAUUGACGCAAAAAAUGCAACAGAGUAAUACAUUCAGUAGUUAGCAAUAAAAAGCACGCAAAUAUACUAAACGUAAAUCAAAAUUUAUAAUUUUCCACUUUUUCGUUUAAUUUGCGCGUCCAUAUAUGUAAAUGUCACAUCUUUUGAAAGAAAGCAUGAGAGAGAGUACUCUCUGAUUAUCGGAGUCUUGAUAUUAUUUGCAAUAUAAAUAUAAAUUCCAUAAAUAUUUAAUAUAAAUUCCAUUAAAUGCUACAUACACACAUUAAAAAAAAAGAUUUGCGGUAGAAUAAGAUAUCAAGUGUUAGAUUUUUAUUUUAAAUAAUAAUUUAGAAAUUUGAGUUUUUUUAAGGAUAUAUUUUACAAAGUUUUUUAAAAUCUCUAAUAUUUAUUAUUUUCCAACAAAGUCUCUAAUAUUUAUUACAGUUUACGCGCGCAAAAAAAUUAUAAAGGUUUAUUUUCUUGCCACAUUGUCAGAAUCAUAAAAAGUUCUUCCAUUAUGUUAUGUUAAUAUUUUUACAAGUUUGUAUAAUUUUACAUUAAAAUAUGUAUAAAAUAGUCUAUCAAUGAUAAAAUAUAUAUACAUAUAUUAUACAAAUGCAAAAAUGUCUGACUAUACACAGAAAAAAAUGAAUUUUUACUGCAAGUAAAUUUUUAUUCUUGAACACUAUGGGAUCUUUCCAGCAAGAGACACAAAUUUACACAGUAGUAACUUUGUCCUUGUCUCUCACUGAAUAUCAAACACAGACAAAAAUACUGCUGUGUCAAUUUGUGUCACUGAAAAGCUCCUUAUAUGCUUUGAUAUGAAGAUGAAAUACUGUCAUCAACUAGAAAUGUUCACUUACAUCAAUAAUAAAUAGGUUGUGUGAG
rnacentral:lncRNA from 1 species